rnacentral:rRNA from 1 species
GCCCAAAAUAUCUAGCCUCGCCACACCCAUACGGGUCUUCAGCAGUGAUCAAUAUUGAAUAUAAGCGUCAGCUUAAUUCAGUUAAAGUAAACAGAGCCGGCAAAUCUGGUGCCAGCCGCCGCGGUUACACCACUUGGCUCGCGUUGAUUCCUCCCGGCGUAAAACGUGAUAAAAGAUAUUUGCAAACUAGGACUAAAUUUUUAUUAAGCUGUAGCACGCUUAUAUUCAAGAAUACCAUUGACGAAAGUUGUCCUAAUAAAUCUACUUGACCUCACAACAGCUAAAACACAAACUGGGAUUAGACACCCCACUAUGUUUAGCCAUAAACUUUAAUUUACACCCCCUCAUCGCCAGGGAACUACGAGCAAUGCUUAAAACCCAAAGGACUUGACGGUACCCCACAUCCCCCUAGAGGAGCCUGUCCUAUAACCGAUACUCCACGUUCAACCACACCACUUUUAGUCUUUCAGCCUGUAUACUUCCGUCGUCAGUCCACCACGUGAGCGCAAACCAGUGGGCUAAAUGCUUUCCCAUCAAUACGUCAGGUCAAAGUGCAGCAAAUAAAGUGGGAAGAGAUGGGCUACACUUUCUACUUUAGAAAAAACGGAAGGUCAGCAUGAAACUGCAACCAGAAGGCGGAUUUAGCAGUAAAGAGAGAUUAGAGAGCUCUCUUAAACCCGGCACUGGGUUGUGUACACACCGCCCGUCGCCCUCUU